AUGCCUGUGCAGGUUGCUGGCGAAAACGGUGGUCAAAACAAUCAAAAUCAUGAAAAUAUGGUCCAAAAUGAUGUAUUAUUUCAUGCUCCACAAGGGGAUGAAGCUGGUGCAGAUCCCGGAGCUGAUUUGGCGGCGCCUUCCACCCCUGUCCGUUUGCAGGUAUCGAAUCCCGGGGGCGCAUCUCCCUCGGAUCUCGCUGCAGGUGACAGCGGGCCAGGCUCCUGGAGCGGCCACUCCCGCGCUACGGCGUCACCCGACCGCGGGGACAGCCGCGCCAUCGGAUCCGCUCUGCACCGCGUGCGCAUGCAAGUGCCAGCGGCGGAUGGUGGAUCUUCUGUGCCCACAAGCCCUGCGGGUUCCCGAGCGUCCAGUAGCCGGGGGGCCACAUCGUGGACCACUGGAUCUUCUCUGCACCCUGGCGCACCAUCACCUGACGGGUCAGCGGCUGGAGGAUCUUCUGCGGAUUCUGUGCACAUGCCUAUACAGCAGCCAGCAGCAGUUUCUUCUCAAGUUAUGACCAUGCUACAAAUAGGUAUACGUAAUCUGAAAAUAAGGAAAGAUGGCACUAUACCAUAUGGCAUGUUAUGUAUUUCAGGAGAACCAACAACAUUAAGAGAUGCACUUGGUGAUCCUAAGUGGAGAAAAGCAAUGGAUGGGGAGUAUUCUGCACUGAUGAGGAAUAAGACUUGGCAUCUUGUACCUGAUCAAAGAGGUAAAAAUAUUAUUGACUGUAAAUGGGUGUACAUGAUUAAGAAAAAGGCAGAUGGCUCCAUUGACAGGUAUAAGGCCCGUCUAGUUGCAAAGGGGUUUAAACAACGGUAUGGCAUAGACUAUGAAGAUACUUUCAGUCCUGUUGUAAAAGCUGCAACUAUAAGACUUGUGUUGGCUAUUGCUGUGUCUAGAGGAUGGAGUCUAAGACAACUAAAUGUACAGAACGCGUUUUUGCAUGGUGUUCUCGAAGAGGAGGUGUUCAUGAGACAACCACCUGGGUAUGAGAAUAAGAAGACACCACAUUAUGUGUGUAAACUUGAUAAAGCACUCUAUGGCUUAAAACAAGCACCCAGAGCAUGGUACUUCAGGUUGAGCUCGCAAUUAAAAUGUCUUGGUUUUAUUGCUUCCAAAGCUGAUACAUCUCUGUUUAUUUAUAACAAGGCAAGAGUAGUAAUCUUUGUGCUCAUUUAUGUGGAUGAUAUUAUAGUUGCAAGUUCAUCACAAAGUGCUACUAAUGCUCUCCUGCAUAAUUUGAGCUCAGAGUUUUCCUUGAAGGAUCUGGGAGACUUGCACUUCUUUCUAGGCAUUGAAGUCAAGAAAACUCAAGAUGGUAUAGUGUUAAGUCAAGAGAAAUAUGUCAAUGAGCUUCUAUCCCGCAUGGGGAUGACAAAUUGCAAGCCUGUGCCUACACCUUUGUCAUCUUCAGAGAAAUUGUCAGCAUAUGAAGGGGAGUCACUUCAGGAGGAAGAUAGUACAAAGUAUAGAAGUACUGUUGGUGCACUACAAUACUUGACACUCACUCGUCCAGAUAUCUCCUUUGCGGUUAACAAGGUUGCAGUGAUGACAGAAAAUCAACUGGAGGCUUUGCAGUAUUUUUUGGUCCUAAUCUUGUGUCAUGGAGUGCCACGAAACAAGCCACUGUGUCUAGGUCAAGUACGGAAGCUGAGUACAAGUCUUUGGCCAAUGCUACUGCAGAGAUUAUUUGGAUUGAGUCAUUAUUGGAUGAGAUGGGAGUUAAACAGAACCGUAUAUCGUGCUUAUGGUGUGACAAUUUGGGAGCAACUUAUUUGUCUGCCAAUCCUGUGUUUCAUGCAAGAACUAAGCAUAUAG
rnacentral:rRNA from 1 species